rnacentral:lncRNA from 1 species
UGUGCAGCGAGGGGCAAAUAGGGCCCUCUCUAAGAUUAGCCCCCAACCCCCGCCCCCGACACACACACACACUAAUUUCCACAAGUAUGGGCAGGACUUUCUGCUGAAGUCAUCACAGAUGGGUGGAGUUCGGGGGUGCUUGGUAUCCUGGGGGUUUUCAGGGCAGUGUAGCCCCUGCACCAGGCGCUGCGUGCCUGGGGAGACACCAACAGCUUGCUGGCUAGGUGGUGGCCAGGCAGGGACAGAGAGCAGGCCCAGAGGGAGCCGGGGAGGCAGGACUCCAGGACAUCUGGGCUGGGGGAAGGUGGAAAGUGCAAAAUAUCCGUGCAGGAGGUGAAGGCCUGGAUGUGUAAGGCCCUGAGGUCUCUGACAGGAAGUGAAAACCUCAGGGAACUGGAAGCUUGGCUGGGAACAGGCCGUGAGAGGGAAACUCGGCCACACGGAGAAGCCGGCCGAGGCCUCCUUGAGCAGAUGGGGAUACUGAGGCUGAGGCAACUGCUUUGCUCAAGGGACUGGGAGUCUUUUUUAUUUUCCACCCCACCGUUCCUAGAUUAAAGCCAGCUGAGAAUAUUGCUUCUGUGACAGCCCGAUUACCUUGGCCUAAAUUUUCUAGUGGGUGAGGAGAGGCAGCACUGUGCUAACAUAGCCAGCUUUUUUUUUUUUUUUUUUUAACUUUUUUAGUGACAGGGUCUUACUCUAUCACCCGGGCUGGAGUGCAGUGACACAAUCAAUGACUUGCUGCAGCCUUGAACUCCUGGUUUCAAGCAAACCUCCUACUUCAGCCUCCUGAGUAGCUGGGACCACAGGCAUAUGCCACCACACCUGGCUAAUUUUCCAAUUUUUUGUACAGACAGGAUCUCAUGUUAUUUAGGCUUGUCUGGGACUCCUGGCCUCAAGCAAUCCUCCUGCCUCGGCCUACCGAAGUGCUGGGAUUACAGGCAUGAGCCACUGCACCCGGCCACCAGCAUUUGUUAAAGUCUCACCACGGAUCAGGCUCUCAUCUAAAAAACUUGAAGUUGUCAUUCUGUGUCCUUACAGUAACCCCUCAAGCUGAAGACAAAAUAUUUGCCAGUCUUGUUCAUGAAGGUAUUCCAAUGCCUAGAACAUUGCUUUUGCACAUAGUAGGUGCUCAACAAACGGGCCUUGCACACAGUAGGUGAGUAAAUGAGUGAGUGAAUAAAUGAAUGAAUGAAUGAAUGAUGGAGGCAGAAAAAUCUUUGCAGGCUCAAGUGCUAACUCUAGUCCUGUGCUCCACAACAGUUGCAGACAUGUCAAUCUCCUCCUCAAAGCCUCCCUUUCCUCCUAAAUAGGGAAUUAAUGGGGAGCUUGACCGAUCCUUUGGGACAGGUGUUAAGAAUCUCAACUGGUUAAAAAAUCUGGACCCAAAAUAGAUGAUUAAGAGACCCAGAAGGCAGUGGGGCUGUGAGGACGUGGAGGGCAAAAAGGCAUCCAGUUUGCAUUGCUCCAAUUCCUCCCCAGACAGCCAGCCUCGAUGGACUGUCUGUAGUCCACACUUUUUUUUUUUUUUUUUUUGAGACUGAGUCUCGCUCUGUCACCCAGGCUGGAGUGCAGUGGUGCAAUCUCGGCUCACUGCAACCUCCGCCUCCUGGGUUCAAGCGAUUCUUCUGCCUCAGCCUCCCGAGUAGCUGGGACUACAGGUGCGUGCCACCACACCCGGCUAAUUUUUGUGUUUUUAAUAGAGGCAGGGUUUCACCAUAUUGGCCAGGCUGGUCUCAAACUCCUGACCUCAUGAUCCACCCACCUCGGCCUCCCAAAGUGCUGGAAUUACAGGUGUGAGCCACCACGCCCAGCUGUUGUCCACACUCUUAUUUGAGCCAGAGUACCCAUCAGGGAGGCUGAGGUGGUGGGAGAAGGCUGCUUCCUGACUAACAGCUGUGCCAACUCCAGAGCUGCAGGUCCAGGCAGGCAGGGACCUCAACCCCAGCACAAAAGGAUGUAGAGGGGUAGGAGGCCAGGGUGACUUGGGAGCCAGGGGCUUUAUCCUACCAAAGGAAAGGAUCUCUCCUGGAGCGAGGUCAGUGGAGUGGGUGUUAGCGAGGGCCUGGGCUUUAGGGAGGCUCAUGGAUGACCCAAGAGUUUCAUGCCUGAAGGCUCCUGUGCUCCCCCAGUGAGAAGGAUCAAAAGUCCACCUGCAGGGUCUCAGCAUUCCCUAGGUCCGCCCUCCAGAGCUGAGACCUAGCUGAGAGAGAGGAGGUGUGAGAAGAGCUGAGGGGCCUUGGAAAGAGUGUGGGACAUCCUAGAACCCUGGCUCAGCCACCUGCUGGCUGUGACCCUGGCGGGGCAUGUCCCUUCUUUGGAUCUCAGUUUUUCCACUCUGUAAAAUGGGUUGAUCAUCAUAAGGCUGACCUCACCAAAUUGCUAUAAGGAUCAAAUCAGAGGACAUAUGUGAAGUCCCAUUACUGUGCAUAUGUGAAGUCAUAUCACUGAAUCUAUGGGAUGCCAGACUCAGAAAAACAGUAGCAAGGGAAAAAGAGAAAACUUGUUCCAUGUUUGCUGAUUUUCCCCAAGGCUGGUGCUUCACGGACUUGACAAGCACUUUUGUAUUUUGGAAUCAGACAGACCUUGGUUUGAAUCCUAGCAAGUGAUUCUCCAAGGCUCAGUUUUCCUGUCUAUGAAAUGAAUGGAUGAACACAGUCAGUAAUAAAAUACUGAAAUGCUGAGCACAGCCCCUGGCUCAUAGUAGAGCGCAAUAAAUGGUUUAGUUAAUAUCACAGGUUAAAGACGAAGAAUAAGGGGGAUCCCUGCCUUGAUGGACAAGGAGAAAAGCAGGGCCCUGAUGAGGGAGCCCCGCACUGCCAGGAUGGAGCAGGAGUGUCAAAGGAAGCCUUCCAACAGCGGUGGCACAGGCGCCAAGGCAACAAGGAAGGGUGGGAGCUCUGCAAGGCACCGGGCACUCCAGGCAGAAGGACCUGUGUGGGGAAAAGCAAGGCAGCUGGAAAAAGCAAGCGGAGCUGCGAAGGCGCCAAGAACACAGUGAGAAGGUAGCCAGGAAGAGAGCCCUCACCAGGAACAUAAUCUGCCGGCACUUUGAUCUUGGACUUCUAGCUUCCAGAACUAGGAGCAAUAAAUGUCUGUUGUUUAAGCCACCCACCCUGUGGUGUCUUGUUAAGCCAGGCCAAGCUGACUACAACAGAAGGGUCGUUCUGGAAUCAGAUAGAACUGAAGCCCUGACUCUGCCACCUCCCAGCUUGGGGGGAAUCGUUGAUGUCUUAGUCACAGUUCCUCUUCUGCAAAAUGAGCACAAGUGCCAGAGCCCUCCAGGUCACACAUGCAAACUUCCAGGAGCCAUGUGGGUCUGUCAGGGAGCUCCAUGAAGGCCCACAGCUUCAUUUAUGAUCACCAUCACCCUCUCAGGGGUGCUUGGCAUGGGGUCCUCAGAGGGCAGAUGGCCUUCUGGGUUUAAUCUUGUCAUCUCAACAGUUCAGGGGCCCUCGCAGACCAGACAUAUUUUGCCUGUGGUCAAGGAAUCCAGGCUGGGCAGAGUCUUCCAUCUUGGAGGCGACUGGAAUUCUGACAGCCAAGCAUGGAAGCCACAGUCAUCUCUCAGAGGAUGACCACCUGUGUCUUUGAGGAAUAAGAAGGGGGA